UACGUAGGUGGCAAGCGUUGUCCGGAUUUACUGGGCGUAAAGAGCGCGCAGGCGGUCGUUCAAGUCGCGUGUGAAAGCCCCCGGCUCAACUGGGGAGGGUCACGCGAUACUGAUCGACUCGAAGGCAGGAGAGGGUAGUGGAAUUCCCGGUGUAGUGGUGAAAUGCGUAGAUAUCGGGAGGAACACCAGUGGCGAAGGCGACUACCUGGCCUGUUCUUGACGCUGAGGCGCGAAAAGCUAGGGGGAGCAAACGGGG
rnacentral:rRNA from 1 species